rnacentral:rRNA from 1 species
GAUCAUGGCUCAGGACGAACGCUGGCGGCGUGCUUAACACAUGCAAGUCGAACGAGAAUCUACAGAUCGAGGAUUCGUCCAAGAGAAGUAGAGGACAGUGGCGGACGGGUGAGUAACGCGUGAGGAACCUGCCUUUCAGAGGGGGACGAACAGUUGGAAACGGAACUGCUAAUACCGCAUGACACAUUGGGGUUCGGCAUGGCCGUUGAUGUCAAAGAAUUUAUUCGCUGAAAGAAUGG